UACGGGGGGGGCAAGCGUUGUUCGGAAUUACUGGGCGUAAAGGGCUCGUAGGCGGCCAACUAAGUCAGACGUGAAAUCCCUCGGCUUAACCGGGGAACUGCGUCUGAUACUGGAUGGCUUGAGUUUGGGAGAGGGAUGCGGAAUUCCAGGUGUAGCGGUGAAAUGCGUAGAUAUCGGAAGGAACAUCAGUGGCGAAAGCGACUUCCUGGACCAAUACUGACGCUCAUGUGCGAAAGCGUGGGGAGCAAACAGG
rnacentral:rRNA from 1 species